rnacentral:lncRNA from 1 species
AGCACUAGUCGAUCCAUGCUAACAUCGAUGGAUCAUAUAGGCACUAGCAUAAGCAUGGAAGGCAUCAGGAAUUAGUUGCGGCCUUCUGAUGAUGAGUAUUGCGUUACGAGUAGCUUGCAAGCAUGGUAAGGCCUGCAAAUUAGUUGUAUCGAUGGUGAAUCUAGUUGAUAGCACUAAUCACCAUGCCUCCAUGAUAUGUUGCAUUGGCCUGCUUCAGUUCUUUAUGUGUAAUUAGCAAAGACCACAUUUUCGUGGAUUCAUACGCCAGUGGUUUCUAGAUAGUUUUCGGCCCCUAGAUCAGGCUGUCCUCCUGCCUAUAUUGUCAAACUUGUUCACGAACCUGUGGAUGGCUGCUUAAUUCUACUGAUUCUUG